UGGCGGCGUGCCUAAUACAUGCAAGUCGAACGCUUCUUUUUCCACCGGAGCUUGCUCCACCGGAAAAAGAGGAGUGGCGAACGGGUGAGUAACACGUGGGUAACCUGCCCAUCAGAAGGGGAUAACACUUGGAAACAGGUGCUAAUACCGUAUAACAAUCGAAACCGCAUGGUUUUGAUUUGAAAGGCGCUUUCGGGUGUCGCUGAUGGAUGGACCCGCGGUGCAUUAGCUAGUUGGUGAGGUAACGGCUCACCAAGGCCACGAUGCAUAGCCGACCUGAGAGGGUGAUCGGCCACAUUGGGACUGAGACACGGCCCAAACUCCUACGGGAGGCAGCAGUAGGGAAUCUUCGGCAAUGGACGAAAGUCUGACCGAGCAACGCCGCGUGAGUGAAGAAGGUUUUCGGAUCGUAAAACUCUGUUGUUAGAGAAGAACAAGGAUGAGAGUAACUGUUCAUCCCUUGACGGUAUCUAACCAGAAAGCCACGGCUAACUACGUGCCAGCAGCCGCGGUAAUACGUAGGUGGCAAGCGUUGUCCGGAUUUAUUGGGCGUAAAGCGAGCGCAGGCGGUUUCUUAAGUCUGAUGUGAAAGCCCCCGGCUCAACCGGGGAGGGUCAUUGGAAACUGGGAGACUUGAGUGCAGAAGAGGAGAGUGGAAUUCCAUGUGUAGCGGUGAAAUGCGUAGAUAUAUGGAGGAACACCAGUGGCGAAGGCGGCUCUCUGGUCUGUAACUGACGCUGAGGCUCGAAAGCGUGGGGAGCAAACAGGAUUAGAUACCCUGGUAGUCCACGCCGUAAACGAUGAGUGCUAAGUGUUGGAGGGUUUCCGCCCUUCAGUGCUGCAGCUAACGCAUUAAGCACUCCGCCUGGGGAGUACGACCGCAAGGUUGAAACUCAAAGGAAUUGACGGGGGCCCGCACAAGCGGUGGAGCAUGUGGUUUAAUUCGAAGCAACGCGAAGAACCUUACCAGGUCUUGACAUCCUUUGACCACUCUAGAGAUAGAGCUUCCCCUUCGGGGGCAAAGUGACAGGUGGUGCAUGGUUGUCGUCAGCUCGUGUCGUGAGAUGUUGGGUUAAGUCCCGCAACGAGCGCAACCCUUAUUGUUAGUUGCCAUCAUUCAGUUGGGCACUCUAGCAAGACUGCCGGUGACAAACCGGAGGAAGGUGGGGAUGACGUCAAAUCAUCAUGCCCCUUAUGACCUGGGCUACACACGUGCUACAAUGGGAAGUACAACGAGUCGCGAAGUCGCGAGGCUAAGCUAAUCUCUUAAAGCUUCUCUCAGUUCGGAUUGCAGGCUGCAACUCGCCUGCAUGAAGCCGGAAUCGCUAGUAAUCGCGGAUCAGCACGCCGCGGUGAAUACGUUCCCGGGCCUUGUACACACCGCCCGUCACACCACGAGAGUUUGUAACACCCGAAGUCGGUGAGGUAACCUUUUGGAGCCAGCCGCCUAAGG
rnacentral:rRNA from 1 species